GGUGUACUUUUUUUUGCACACGUUAGGAGCCAGGUUCAGAGCCCCUGUUCUAGGGCCCCGUGCACGUUACUGGCCGGUGAACCCAGCAGGUCCAUCCAAAGUCUGCCCUUCAAGGUCCCACUCAGAUGCCACCUUCUGCAUGAAAUCCACCUAGACUGCUCCAGCCUGGCCUGUACUGGUUUUGGUGGAGCACAUUCUUUGCUCUUGUUUCGAGGGUUGAAAAUCUCAACAGAACUUAUCAGCCUCUGUCCCCGUCUCAAAAGAGGAGUUCUUCAGAGAGGCAGCUCCAGAAGCAGCAAGGUCUUCGGCAGAAAUCAGGGUACCGGUAUAAUGCUGUGGAGGCUAUCUGAGACUUCAGCCCCAAUUUUAGAGAAAUUUCCAGUCUAUUUUAAUUCGUGAACGAGCCAACCAGGACCGGAGGAGGUGGCUACUUGCCAAGCAGUGGAGUAGGGAGCAUGCUGGCCGGGGCCAGGAGAUCUGGUUCCAAUCAUGGACACCACAUGGACCACGUGUGUGCUGGUGCCUUCUGUGCUCUCCAUGUCCACACCCGCCCCCUCCGAAGCCGUGCACUCACCCCUGCCCCAUCUACUCUGUACGGUUGUCGGCAGAGAACAGAGGAUGGUACAAGUACGAUUAAAAUGACACGGAGGGGUAGCAGAGCUUUGGCAGUGGGGGCUGUCACUGUGAUUGUUAUCGCUCCUUAUUAAACCAGUGCACGUUUGCGCAGACUGAGAUGGCUGUCAUGUUGGAGUGAACAGGCCACGGGAUGCUGACACAGCUACUAAGUUGCAGUGUGGCCUUGAGCAUCUCCCUGCCCUCUCUGCAAACCCAGCGGCUGUGCCCGGUAAUCAUCACGUCCCUCUGGGAUUGGAAGGUUGGUGACGUUGAAACGCAGCAAACGCACUCUGGCUCUAGACGCUUUGGAGAGUGACGAUCUGGUAGCUGCUUUGGGCCAGACUCUCUUGGCGGUUACCCUGGGGGUGCUUGGUGGGGGGUGGAGAGCUGCCCAGGCCCUCGCUGCAGCCCACAUGCAAGGCAUCUGGGAGGUUGCAAGGACAUAUUUGAGAGGAAAAUCAUUUUCCUUCAGCACAAAGUCUGGCAGCUGCAGAGGAUAUAGAUCCCUGGCCCUGGGGUUUUCUAAGCCCGGUCAGACGUCUGACUCCUUCAGGGAGUUUCUGCACGGAGACGCAGCGAGGGGAACCUUCUGAUUUCCCCACUCCUGGUUCUGGAAUGGGACUCUCGACACGCCGCCAAGUUACCCAUCUUUCGGACCUCUCCCCGCUGUGUCGUGCUGCUCUGCCUCUCAGUGGUCCCACGUUGUAUCCUGAGCCCACAAGGCGUCACAGAGAAUCAGGGGCCACAGGACCUCUGCAUUGGAAGAAUCUAGAGACUUGAUUUCACUGGUCUUUAGCUCUUUUCAGUAGUUUUGUCAAAAGACAAGGAAAUCACUGAAAGUGAUACUAUUUUAAGCUCGACUUUGUAACAUUGGUGUAUUAUAGAGCCAAUAAGUGAGCACA